GCAAGCCGAGCCGCACGCGUAGCCUCCUGUACCGAGCCGAGCCGCGCCUGCGCCAAGCCGAGCCGGUCCCUGUCUUCUUCCAGCCGAGCCGCCAAGACCAAAUUGGCUCCAUCCACCUAGAUUUUGGUAAUUUAAUUAAUUAUUGUGGCAUUUCCCAGUAAGACUCCAUGCUUCGGACGUCAAUUAAAUUAAAUUGGGACUAAAAUUUAGUUAUUUUCCUUAAGGGACGUCUUGGACCAAGUAAUUGCUGCAGCGCGGGAAUUCUUCAGCAGGGGGGCUCGAGCACUGCAACCUCUCUAGGUUAGGACUUCGUCGCUUGGAAAGCGUACUGCCUCGCGGUUAGGACUCGACAAGUAGAUCUCCAGGUAGAGGACGAGGCAAGGGCAAGGGCAAGCUGGCGAGCGACCCGAAGUGAGACCGUGA